AAAUGAGUCAAUGAUAAAAUUUUCAAGGUUAUAAAAAACUCGAAGAUUUUUUUCAUAUAAAAGUACAAUAAGAGAAAUUAAAAAAAUGUUAUUUAAAGGAAAAACUAAACUGUUGUUAUGACUGUUAUUUUAAUUUUAUGUAUGUGGGUGAUGGAAAUAUAUGAUAAUAAUCAACAGUAACAUCACUAAAGGAAGAAAAUAUAAUAAGUGGAUCAAAAAUGUAAAAACAGAAGGAUAAUUAUA